CCUGCCUCCAUGUCUUUCUCUUUCUCUCUAGUUUGCCUUCCAUCUCUCUUUCUCUAUUUUCUUUCCAUCUCUCUCUUUAACCCACUUGCUCAUUCACCACACUCUCUCUGGGUUCCUCUCUUGCCAUUAUACAUGUGUCUGAGUCUCUCUCUCUCUGGCUUACAUCCAUUUUCUACAUCACUUCUAAUGAGAAGCUGUAAGCACCAUCUCCCCAACAGCCCUUAAUAACAGUGAUGAUACUAAAAGUUGACCGUUCCACCGUUGCUGGUUUGAGAAUGGUUUGCAUGGGCCUCCUGGGAGAUCAAUAUUACCCUAUAGGCAUGUUGGACUGAGUGGGCUGUGCUGUAACAAUACUGUCAGAGCAGAGCAUGUGUGAAUGAGUGACCGCUCAUCAGUAAAUACAACCCAUACUGACUGGCUGUGUUUGGCCUGACUUAACCCCUCAACCUGGUCAUCAUAUGCUCUCUGUGGUGAUCAAACUGUCUCACACUCAAACAUUAUCACCAGGGUUUCAGACAGCGUUUUACACACUCCCGAGGUCUUUGAUUGUGUGCUUCCUGCUACACUAACAAAAAUAACAACCAGAAACUGAAUGAAAUGAAAUCUAUCUGGUCUGUUAUUUCGUGAUGACCAUAGCACAGAGGGGAAUAGGUUGGCUUGCCUACAACUCCCAUCUAUCAAAUAUACUAUGCCUAUGUCAGCCAUUGUCUUCACCAUUACCCACUAGUGUCUCUAAAUAAGCAUCCAGCCUUAAUACUUGCCCUUUACCUAUCCUGGCCAUUCAGAUAAUGGGGAGGAAACAAUGGAAGGAAGCCUCUUUAGAUUAUUGAGAUGCACCCUGAGAGGAAUUCACACACCCAAUGCACAGCAGUGAGUCAGCGUUUCUGUCUGAGCUCCGCACAGCAGUGUGAGUCAGCGUUUCUGUCUGAGCUCCGCACAGCACAACAGUGUGAGUCAGCGUUUCUGUCUGAGCUCCGCACAGCACAGCAGUGUGAGUCAGCGUUUCUGUCUGAGCUCCGCACAGCACAGCAGUGUGAGUCAGCGUUUCUGUCUGAGCUCCGCACAGCACAGCAGUGUGAGUCAGCGUUUCUGUCUGAGCUCCGCACAGCACAGCAGUGUGAGUCAGCGUUUCUGUCUGAGCUCCGCACAGUACAGCAGUGUGAGUCAGCGUUUCUGUCUGAGCUCCGCACAGCACAGCAGUGUGAGUCAGCGUUUCUGUCUGAGCUCCGCACAGCACAGCAGUGUGAGUCAGCGUUUCUGUCUGAGCUCCGCACAGCACAGCAGUGUGAGUCAGCGUUUCUGUCUGAGCUCCGCACAGCACAGCAGUGUGAGUCAGCGUUUCUGUCUGAGCUCCGCACAGCACAGCAGGCUUAGUGUAGUAGUAGGACAUAGCAUUUCAAUGUGGCAUUCAACCUUAGAUUCACAAGCGUGUUAUGUUUCAAUGGGACAUUUCGGCAUCAACCCACAAGCUCCUUAAACGGAACAAUUUAGUCUGUUCUGUGCAGACCAAAAUAAUGUGAGAGCUGCCUUGCUCUUUUGUGACAAUACUUGUGGGAAAAAUGUAUGAUUUCGACCUAGAUACUAUAGCUGCCACACAUGGUUGGAAUGCUGCCUCGUAAUAACUAGCCUGUGGUCCAGACUGAGGCCCAGGGGAAGGACAGUUAGAGUGUAGAAGACAGUAAACCACCUGUCUUUCACUUAUACGUCUGCUAUACGCUUAUCAGCCGAGCUUGUCUUCUUCAUAUAGCAUAACUACUAGCCUGGUCCCAGAUCUGCUUGUGUGAUCAUGCCACUGCUUGUCACUCAUUUGGCAUGACAAGGAGUGGAAUGAUAUCUCAAACCGACUGGUACCCAGGCUACAUAACUACUGCUUGUGCUAUCCCUUUCUCCAUUUUUCUUCUCUUACUUUUCAUCAACCCCGACAUAUCUCCCUCUCUCUCACUUACCCAGUUUUUUUCAGCUCCUGUUCUUAAGAACCCUGCCUGGUAGGUCUCCUGUCUCUUAUGUUGGUAGUACAGUCUGUCUUCUCCGAUCCCUAACAAAGUUUAUAGAAAGUCCCGCUGAGUUUCUGAAUGUGUACUGAUGAUAUAAGUUGAAUUGAUAGCCUCUCACUUGCUGACAUCUUCCCAGACCAGGGUCCGGUUUCCCAAAAGCAUCUUAAAGCUAAGUUUGUUAGAACCUUCGUCGGGGCAUUAUUAAAUCUGUGCUGUUUCCCAAAACCUUCGUCAUUAACGUUACACUUGUAAUCUAACGCCUGUCUCAGACCCCUCGUAGAACAGCUAAGUGGUUCGUUAGAUGCUUUUUUUGCCCUCCCGCGUCACUUUACACACACAAGAGCUCCGCUAAACAUAGACCAUGUGAUUCUAUCUGCAUCUGUGACCGCUGAAAACUUCCCAACAAAGUGGACAACAAAUACACAAUUGACAAUGUCUUUGCAAUUGAUACAAACAAGCAGCUUAUACACAUUUUGGUGAAAUUAAAACUUGAGGUGUCUACUUUAAAAAAUAUAUAUAUUUCAAUCAUUUAUGGAGUUCUAUUUUGCUACUUGUAAUUUUGUCUGUAUAUAUUUCAUGCCUAAUAUGUGCAAUGAUGUGCCAAAUCUUGAUUUUCACAUGUUUUAUAUAACUAGGCAAGUCAGUUAAGAACAAAUUCUUAUUUACAAUGAUGGCCUUGUUCAGGGGCAGAACGACAGAUUUUUACCUUGUCAUUUGUCAUCUCUGGGAUUCAAUCCAGCAACCUUUCAGUUACUGGCCCAGUGCUCUAACCACUAGGCUACCUGCCGCCCCUAAUAUUAAGUUAAGAUUUGAAUGGAGAAAGCUGAUCCGAGAGCAGCUUUGCCUUUCUUUCAAUACUAUCAGUAUGGACACAAGCCUCAACUCUCUCUGCGCGGUGUUUUUGGAAACAUGUUACAUCUUUGCCGUUAUAGGAAAGAUGCAUCGUUAAAACACUCAUAAGCCUAAGUUCAAUCGCUAUCAGGAAACCGGGCCCAGGUUAAUAGGCCCUUAGCCCUUCCAGUUCUGUUGCUGUACCUAGCCUACCUGCCAGCCAACUAACCCCUCGUACUGUGGCUAUCCCAGACACAGCCACUCCCACAGCCUGACACAUACUGAUGAACGAUACUGCUUAUUUAUCAACAUGAUCUGAUUUCAACAACUUUUCGCAAUCCACGAAGUCUCUUCUUCAGGGAGACAAAUAUGCUUAUGAUUAUCCACUGGCUUCGUAUGGCUCAAACAUAACACUGCAACCCUUUCAAAUGUGCCAUUUUGUCCCCGUUGAUCAGAACAGCCUUCUCUAAAUCAACUGCACUAAGUGCCCAGUGAUCAAACCCUAAACAAUCUACCGAGGGAUACCUGCCCCUUGCCCUCUGCAGUAGCCUUGCCCUCACAGUCCCAGCCAUGUACCAUACACAGUGUUGUUGCUUUGUCUCUGAACAUGUUGCUGUCUUGACUCCACAUUUGAUCCCCACCAGGUUGACUCAGGAUUGUGACUCAGAUCGAGUAACCUAGAGAGCGGACCUAGAGAGCGGAGAGAAAGGCUGGACAAAAAAAAAAGUCUGGUCUGGCCUUUCACUCUGUCCGUACGAUCUGCAGUGUGUGCUCACCUCAGUCGCUCUCUCUCUCGUCAGUCUGGCCCGAUGCCCAAGUUCAAAACAGACCGACUCGUGUGUCAGGAAAAAACAUCCUCUCACACACACUGAGAGGGAGAGAACGAACACUAAACGCUCAAACCACACAAACCAAAAAAAGAAAGAGCUUUGGUCAAAGGGGAAUAGAGAGAGGUCUCUCUACCUGUCUCUCUCUACCCCUCCCUCCCUCCCUCUCUUGGUCUGUCGUUCAGCAGAAAAACGGAUCGAUAAAGAGUUGAAGCUCUUCGCACCAAGUGACUCCUCGUAAAUGGGUACUUUUCUGUGGGGUGAAUGGAGAAUCUAACCAACUCCUUGUUUUAAAGGGAGAAAAUGAAAGUUGUGCCUCCUAAUGUUCUGUCUAAAUGGAUCUAUCUCUGAUGAAGUGUAAAGGACUCUGUAACCUUAACGAAAUCACUAUGUUCCCAUUGUUUUUAAGGGCCUUCCUUUCCUGGUGCUCUCAGCAAGUCCAUUUUUCACAAGUAGGUAGGAAGGAGCAGUCAUUUAGAAGUAUGGGGACAUUGUGUAGUAGGUGUUGACAUCACAGUCCCCACACAGUAUAUGACCCAUGUCGCUAGACUUGUACAUUGCAAAAGUGCACAAUUGUUACAGUUUUACUCCGUUUAUUAUUUAUCUGACAUGUUUUACCAUAUCGACAAUUGACAGGGGUAUUAUGCAGUCCUGGUAACUUUCAGAUGUUAUUACUUGAAGCUGACUUUCAGUUUCCUCUCAGAGCAGUACUGUGCCUUGUCAGCUGCACAUCCUGUUUUAGCUGAUUUGACACCCUGCUGGCAGGGAGAGGUAAAUGUAUCCCCUAGAGCAGGGUUUCCCAAGCUGGGUCCUUGGGCCCCCCCUGGGUGCACAUUUAGGUUUUUGCCCUAGUGCUACACAGCUGAUUCAAAUAAUCAGCUAAUCAUCCAGUUUUGAUUAUUUGUGUCAGCUGUAUAGUGCUUGGUCAAAAACCAAAACGUGCACCCCUUAGGGUCCCCUGGAUUGAGUUUGGAAACACUGCCUUAGGGACAAACUAUGUAUUUUCUGAUACGAAAUGCCCCCAAAUUGACAAUGUAUUUCCUGAAAUGGUCCAUGAUUUUACAUGCAGAAACAUCUCCCCAGUGUAACAAUGUGGAGAUGUUGGUGAGACAUUGGAGUAGUGAUGAGGGAAGGCAACUCUUUUAUAUUAUUUUUCACAACAUGUCAGAUUAUGGGGCUGUGUGCAUUUAGUCUUAUUUUCGGGACUGUAUGCGUCUUACUGUUCUCUAUCAACCUCAUUGACAAAUGUCCUAAGAGCUGCUGUAUCAAUAGAAACAGAAAUGUUCCUUGUACCAUAACUUUGCCUCCUGGAAGAGAAAAAAAAAUUUCAAAACAC